rnacentral:rRNA from 1 species
UGAGGAAUAUUGGUCAAUGGGCGCAAGCCUGAACCAGCCAUGCCGCGUGCAGGAUGACGGUCCUAUGGAUUGUAAACCGCUUUUGUACGGGAAGAAACACUCCGACGUGUCGGAGCUUGACGGUACCGUAAGAAUAAGGAUCGGCUAACUCCGUG